UACGUAGGGGGCAAGCGUUGUCCGGAUUUAUUGGGCGUAAAGCGCGUGUAGGUGGCCAAGUAGGUCCGCUGUGAAAACUUGAGGCUCAACCUCAAGCUGUCGGUGGAAACCACUUGGCUAGAGUCCGGAAGAGGAGAGUGGAAUUCCUGGUAUAGCGGUGAAAUGCGCAGAUAUCAGGAAGAACACCAAUGGCGAAGGCAGCUCUCUGGGACGGUACUGACACUGAGACGCGAAAGCGUGGGGAGCGAACAGG
rnacentral:rRNA from 1 species